GUGCCCGUAGCUCAGGUGGAUAGAGCACGGGGCUCCGGACCCCGGGGUCGCGGGUUCAAGUCCCGCCGGGCACACCA
rnacentral:tRNA from 1 species